CGGGUGAGUAACACGUGGGUAACCUACCUAUAAGACUGGAAUAACUCCGGGAAACCGGGGCUAAUGCCGGAUAACAUUUAGAACCGCAUGGUUCUAAAGUGAAAGAUGGUUUUGCUAUCACUUAUAGAUGGACCCGCGCCGUAUUAGCUAGUUGGUAAGGUAACGGCUUACCAAGGCAACGAUACGUAGCCGACCUGAGAGGGUGAUCGGCCACACUGGAACUGAGACACGGUCCAGACUCCUACGGGAGGCAGCAGUAGGGAAUCUUCCGCAAUGGGCGAAAGCCUGACGGAGCAACGCCGCGUGAGUGAUGAAGGUCUUCGGAUCGUAAAACUCUGUUAUUAGGGAAGAACAAAUGUGUAAGUAACUAUGCACGUCUUGACGGUACCUAAUCAGAAAGCCACGGCUAACUACGUGCCAGCAGCCGCGGUAAUACGUAGGUGGCAAGCGUUA
rnacentral:rRNA from 1 species